rnacentral:rRNA from 1 species
UACGUAGGGUGCGAGCGUUAAUCGGAAUUACUGGGCGUAAAGCGUGCGCAGGCUGCUUCGCAAGUCAGGCGUGAAAUCCCCGGGCUUAACCUGGGAAUGGCGUCUGAAACUACAAGGCUAGAGUGUAGCAGAGGGGGGUGGAAUUCCACGUGUAGCAGUGAAAUGCGUAGAGAUGUGGAGGAACACCGAUGGCGAAGGCAGCCCCCUGGGCUAACACUGACGCUCAGGCACGAAAGCGUGGGGAGCAAACAGG